AUGUUUCCCCAGGCCGUGUAAUUCCACUGAACUGGAAAGGAAGGUGACGCCUGCCUGUGGCUCCCGUGCCUCUGUUUCAACAGGUGCAGACGCGGCAUAAUGAUGGGUGGUUGAUCCAUCUCUGUGGAGGGAAACGAUUGGCCCCAGAUGACUGUGAAGAAAGAAGGUCUGGAGGGCAGGGAACCUGUCAAGAUGUCUCAUAGUGACCCAUGAUUAAGGUUAAUGUGAACUACCACACUCGAUCCAAGCAGGGUGACAGAUGACCCAGAGCCUACAGGAGCAUGCAUGGGCCAUCUCUCCAGGUGUACUGGCUGGUGUUGUGUGUGUCAAUGUGACACAAGCUGGAGUUAUCACAGAGAAAGGAGCCUCAGCUGUGGAAAUGCCUCCAUGAGACCCAGCUCUCCUGCUUCCUGACCUACUUGAGUUCCAGUCCUGACUUCCUUUGGUGGUGAACAGCAAGGUGGAAGUGUGAGCUGAAUAAACCCUCUCCUCCCCAA